AGCCGCAUAAGGCUAGUGAUUAGAAACGCCAGCUCUAAAGCACAGGGAAGAAGAGGAGGAUUGUAAUCUGGAGAGGGUCAAGCUCUUCUAGGCAAGGCCAACCAGCUAUUGUGAUUAAAGUUUCACGAGUUUUGGGAAAAUAAAAAUGGCUGAAUUCCACGCCUGCGUCAAGGUGGAAGAAGAGGGUCGAGAAGUGCCAUGGAUGAUGACGUUUUCAUGAGGUCAAGUUUAAUAGAAGAAACCUGGUACCACAAGUGACAGUGAUAAAGUACAUCCCAGGAUGCACAGGGAUUUUGGAGACGACCUCAAGCUCCCCGUGAAAUUUGGAAAGACACUGACAACUUGGCCCCUCCACCCCUGCCUCCAGACCUUCCGUGGACACGCUUAAUCACUGCAAGAGCAGCCUGUGCCGUGCUUGGUGAGAUGAGAACCAGAGCUUUAUCAGGAAUAACAUUAUGCAAAUGACUAUGCAAAUGCCAACCAGAAGAGUACAGUAUCUGGAAAAAAAGUUCAGAUAAAACCUUCAGAACACAUCCAAAGUUGGCUGGAAAAAAGAACUGAACAUUUUAAACUAUAAGGUCACCAUGGUAGCAAAGGGAAUUUAUUACUAAUAAGAAUUUUGCA